GAUUUAAUCAUCUAUAAUUUAAUAAAUUUAUAAAGAUUUGUUACAUAUAAAUUAAGAACAUUAAAUGUAACACGCAUUCAUAUAUUUUUCAUACAAUUAAAUUCAUCUAAUGACCCUAACCUCGUUUAUUUAAUAUAUAACAAUGAAAUAAUUUCAUAUCACAAAUUCAUUAUGCUUUAUUUAGAUCUGUAGUGAUUGAAUUAUUUGAGAAAAUUUAGAUUUUGAAAAGCAUACAACUCGUGACGUAACGUAUCACGUGAUAUACGUCAUAAAACGCCGGGAGAUCAGCACCAAAAUGGUCGUAAAUGUCUCGUGGACGAUUUACGGGUCAGUUUUACAGGCCCCGGGUCACGUGAUAUACCCACGUGCGUCUUUUCCAGUUUUGAAUGCGUUGAAAUGCAAUGCAAUGGGCUUAUAAGUACAAUUCGAUGCCGCUUUCAAUCGUUUUAGAUACGUCGUUGAAAGUGCUGAUGAGGUGUUUUAUUUAUUAACGCUCUCACUGCUUAAACUGUUAAAUCUUGGAGCGAACACGGAACAUUUUUCCCCCCUACUCCAUUCAGAAUUUUUAAGAUAACUACGUAUUGUUUAUGUAAUAUAAAUUCAAUGCUAUGUAAUUUUAAACGCAAUGUAAGCUAGAUCUAUAUGUUUUCUACAGCAUGAAAUGAAUUAAUACUGAAUUUAUUUUUUUGAGAGUUUUAAUGUGUAGUUAGACAUAACAAACCUGUGAAAUUGUUUAUUUUUAAACAGCUUUGUUUAUUUAUUUUUAAUUUUCUCUUUCAACAGAAUACUUCAUUUCGAUAUUUCUUAAUAAAUUAAAAUUAUAUCACUACGCUCUUAUAAUAAUAAUUUGUUUGACGUAUUGUAAAUUUUAAAAAUCAUUUAAAAACACUAAGCGAAGUAUUUACAAUGUAAAUAUUUAAAAGCCUAAUAAUAUAAUCUACGUUAUAAGCUUUUUCAUAAAAAAAAUCUCCAAAAGUUAAAUGUCAUUUAAAAUAUAUUUAUAAUUUAAUUUAAUUUUUUAAAAUCGUAUAGUUCCAAAAUCCAAGAGCCAUAAGGCAAUCUAUAAUAUGUAGGCCUUAAAUAAUUAAAGAAAUAAGAUUAGUUAUAGUCUUUAAAAACUUAAAUGUAUUUAUAAAUUUACCUUAUCUUAUUAGUGAAUACUGUAUAAGUAAUUCAACUAGAAACACAGUUACAUCUUUACAUAGUAAAUUCAUACAACAAAAUGAACUCUGAAUUAUAAAGACUAUAAUAUAUCCUGUCAAAAAUUUAUUAAAUAGAUAUUUAGUUGUGUAACAGUAUAGAUUUAUACUUAAAAAAUAUUACAAUCUAUGUUACUCUCUAGGUGCAUCAAGCUAUAUUAUGCCUAUUUUUUAUUCUAAGGUAGAUACAUUAUUUAUACAAAUUAAUGAUAAACUGCAAAAGGUGAUGUAAAUAUAUCUCUUGUUUGUAUAAAUAAUGUUAUUAAAUAUAUAAAUAGAAUAUCAUACAAAGAAACUGUUUACGAUAGUUUGUAUAUUUUUAUAUUGUAAGUUAAACUUUGGGCCUUAUUCAUAUAGGCCUAGCGUAUAUUUAGAUACAUAUAAUGUUUAAAUCUUUAAAUUUUAUAAACAUAAAUUUACAAAUAUAAAAUAGUAAGCUUAUUAAAUGUAAAUGUAAAAUAAUUUCAGUUUAAUUUUUAAAAAAGUAUUCAGGGGAAAAAAAGUGAAACAUGAAGUGAACGUAUUAAUACAAAUUAAGUGAAAAUUGAUAGCUUUGUGGAAAAUUACACUAAGAAGCUAUCAAUUUUCAUAAAAAGAAGAAAUAAACAUUUUAAUCAGGUUUCAGCAAAUAAAUAUUAGUAGUUUAAUCAACUGCUAAUAGAUUAAUAAACCUUAAUAAGGAUAAAAUAUGACAGUUUCUUUGGUCAUGGGAUUUAAUUUAAUUUAAAAAUCUCCAUAAAGAUACACGAAUUGCACUAGGCUUUUCCAAAGAGAAACUUUUCAAACAUAAUCAUAUAAUUUAUCGAAUAUUAAAAAUAAUUUUAUUUUAAUGAAUAAUUUCUUCCUAAUUAGAUUAUUUUCUUCAAUAAGACUUGAAAUAACUUACUAAAACGCGGAGACGGAGCCAGAUGUAAGUUAUGAAUAAGAAGAUAGAAAAAAAUAAGACAGAAACGAUGACGACAAGUUUACAGCGUCUCAGAGUAGCUGGAGACGUUUAUGGCGGCAGUAGACAUACAGUACGUUUGGGGACAAGCGUGAAUGAAUACAUCGAGUGACGGUUAGAAGCAGUAACUGUCUUGUUACAACCGCUAUAAAGUGGCUGUUUCUCUCCGACAGUGUGUUCUUUCAUUUUUGCCAAAGACACUCACAUCGCCGUUAUUACAAUUAGUUUAAGCUACUAUAAACUAUUUUUGCCGUGAUUUUUAUCUGUGUAAAGAUUUUUAUUGCUAAAUUAUAGGUUACUGGCCAAAAACGGAAGAAAAAAAACAAGUUUCUUCAAGAAACAGAAAUAAAGAUAAAGCAAAGGAUUUUAACAUCGUGAAGUACAGUUUCUAUAAAUCAAGAUUAUAUUAUGAAUUUAACAAGAUUCUGCACAGAAAAAAAAGAGAAUUUCCAUAGAUUAACAACGAAACUUUUUCGUAAUUUAGAAUAUUCUUUCGAGGACAUUUACUUUCCGUGUUAAUUAUGAACAUCUAUAUUAAAUAUGAUCUGAUUAUUUAUGUAAUAAAUUCAUUUUUUUAGAUUAGAGAUGAUUAUAAUGUUUACAAGCCAUGGAAUAAGUAACAAACUAUACAUGAAAUUUAAGAAAAUUUUAGUCUAUUGAUAGAGCUAGGCCUAUACAAACUGCUAAUUAAGAAAAUACAUUAACAGUGUUAUCUCUUGGUAAAAGCUUUAUUAAAAGCAAUAACAGAUUGCUAUCUCAGAAUAUUUUUCGUUUCGUUUGAAAUCAGAAAAAUAAUUUAAUUAAUUGAUUUAAUAAAAUAUUAAUAAGUCUAAUUCUCUUUAAUUACAUCUAGAAAUUUUUCUAAUUUAGAUUUAUUGUUUGCUUUCCCUUAGCAUUUUA
rnacentral:lncRNA from 1 species